GACGAACGCUGGCGGCGUGCUUAACACAUGCAAGUCGAACGGAAAGGCCUCUUCGGAGGUACUCGAGUGGCGAACGGGUGAGUAACACGUGGGUGAUCUGCCCUGCACUCUGGGAUAAGCCUGGGAAACUGGGUCUAAUACCGGAUAGGACCAUGCUUUAGUGUGUGUGGUGGAAAGUUUUUUCGGUGUAGGAUGAGCCCGCGGCCUAUCAGCUUGUUGGUGGGGUAAUGGCCUACCAAGGCGGCGACGGGUAGCCGGACUGAGAGGUUGGUCGGCCACAUUGGGACUGAGAUACGGCCCAGACUCCUACGGGAGGCAGCAGUGGGGAAUAUUGCACAAUGGGCGCAAGCCUGAUGCAGCGACGCCGCGUGGGGGAUGACGGCCUUCGGGUUGUAAACUCCUUUCGCCAGGGACGAAGCGUUUUGUGACGGUACCUGGAGAAGAAGCACCGGCUAACUACGUGCCAGCAGCCGCGGUAAUACGUAGGGUGCAAGCGUUGUCCGGAAUUAUUGGGCGUAAAGCGAGCGCAGGCGGUCAAUUGAGUCUGAUGUGAAGGCCCCCGGCUCAACCGGGGAGGGUCAUUGGAAACUGGUUGACUUGAGUGCAGAAGAGGAGAGUGGAAUUCCAUGCGUAGCGGUGAAAUGCGUAGAUAUAUGGAGGAACACCAGUGGCGAAGGCGACUCUCUGGUCUGUAACUGACGCUGAGGCUCGAAAGCGUGGGUAGCAAACAGGAUUAGAUACCCUGGUAGUCCACGCCGUAAACGAUGAGUGCUAAGUGUUGGAGGGUUUCCACCCUUCAGUGCUGCAGUUAACGCAUUAAGCACUCCGCCUGGGGAGUACGACCGCAAGGUUGAAACUCAAAGGAAUUGACGGGGACCCGCACAAGCGGUGGAGCAUGUGGUUUAAUUCGAAGCAACGCGAAGAGCCUUACCAAGUCUUGACAUACUGUGAGGACACAAGAGAUUGUGUUGUUCUGACCUUUGGUUAGACACAGAUACAGGUGGUGCAUGGUUGUCGUCAGCUCGUGUCGUGAGAUGUUGGGUUAAGUCCCGCAACGAGCGCAACCCUUAUAUCUAGUUGCCAGCAGUAAGAUGGGGACUCCAGAUAGACUGCCAGUGAUAAACUGGAGGAAGGUGGGGAUGACGUCAAAUCAUCAUGCCCCUUAUGACUCGGGCUACACACGUGCUACAAUGGAUAGGAACAAAGAGAAGCGAACUCGCGAGAGUAAGCAAACCUCACAAAACUAUUCUCAGUUCGGAUUGUAGUCUGCAACUCGACUACAUGAAGCUGGAAUCGCUAGUAAUCGCGAAUCAGAAUGUCGCGGUGAAUACGUUCCCGGGUCU
rnacentral:rRNA from 1 species